CCUACGGGGGGCUGCAGUGAGGAAUAUUGCACAAUGGGCGAAAGCCUGAUGCAGCGACGCCGCGUGCGGGAAGAAGGCCUUCGGGUUGUAAACCGCUUUUCUGGGGGACGAGCAAGGACGGUACCUCAGGAAUAAGUCCCGGCUAACUACGUGCCAGCAGCCGCGGUAAUACGUAGGGGGCAAGCGUUAUCCGGAAUCACUGGGCGUAAAGGGCGUCUAGGCGGCAAGGCAAGUCUCGCGUAAAAGCUCCCGGCUCAACUGGGAGAGCGCGCGGGAAACUGCCUGGCUAGAGACUCGGAGAGGGGUGUGGAAUUCCCGGUGGAGUGGUGAAAUGCGUUGAGAUCGGGAGGAACACCAGUAGCGAAGGCGGCACCCUGGCCGAGUUCUGACGCUGAAGCGCGACAGCGUGGGGAGCAAACGGGAUUAGAUACCCGAGUAGUC
rnacentral:rRNA from 1 species